rnacentral:rRNA from 1 species
AUGAAUGUCUUUAGAGUGCACAUCAAGCUGGAUGUUUUGAAGCCGGUCCCAGAGGUGGAAAUAUUCAUGCAAAACUUGUUGAAUGCCAGGUUGAUAAAAAAGUUCACCACCCAGGAGGUGAGCGAUGCCCUCUUCCAGAUUGGGCCUCUGAAAGUACCCGAUACAUACAUACAGUUUCUCGUCCCGGUUUUUUUCCAAAGGAAUUGGGAUUUUCUAAAGGAUGACGUGGUGGCUGCAAUGUUACACUUUUUUGAUAAUGGGUUGCUCCCGGAAGAGACACAAAGUGCCUUCGUCCCAGGUAGAAUGAUUACAGCCAACACGAUUAUUGCGUUCGAAUGCUUCCAUAAGAUCCAACAUAGCAGAAACCCACACGUCACCCAUUGUGCCUACAAACUUGACCUAGCAAAGGCAUAUGAUAGAGUCAACUGGAAGUACCUGGAGGAGGCCCUUGAGAGAAUUGGCUUUCGCCAGAAGUGGAUAAACUGGGUCAUGGAAUGUGUUACCUUAGAAUGCACGGGGCAACUCCUUAGUUCAAGUAUAUGCCCAUUUCUCUUCAGUGAUCAAUGCCCGAAGCAGGUGAGAACAAACAUUAAAGGGGUGUUGGAAGUGGAAAUUACUACUUUUGAGAGCAAAUACAAGGGUUUACCGACACCGGAAGGAAGGAUGAAGGAUGAGAACUUCCAAUCAGUUAUGGACAAACUUGGGAAAGAUGAAGGACAUAGAAAGGUGCACUGGAUGUCUUGGGAGCGCAUGACCAACCAAAACGAGCAGGGGGCAGGCUCAGAGACCUGCAUUUAUUCAACUUGGCAUUGCUUGCCAAGCAAGGUGGGAUGCUCAUUCAAAACCCAAACAGUAUGUGUGCAAGAGUUCUCGAAGCAAAAUAUUUCCCAAAGGGUGACCUCCUUAGUACGAUGUUUCCCUUGGAUGCAUCGCCGGCUUGGAGAGCAAUUGAACACAAGCUCGGACUACUUAAGAAAGGUCUCAUUUGGAGAGUUGGAAACGGGACAAACUGACUUCAAAUUCUACUGGACAAAAAAAAUAUCAGAGAUGAGAAGAAGAAUACUUUUGCUGAUGUGGAGAGCUUGGUUCCUCCGGGACAGCUAUGUGCACCAUGACGGCAAGGAAUCAAUCUCGCCAUCGGCACUAUUCUUGGUCAGGUAUGAAGAGGAAAUGAAAAACCUAUCUCUAUCGGACAUUGGGAAUAAGGGCAAAAGGAGCUGGUCUCUAUCGGCCGCAGCACCCACAUGA